GUGUGAACCGGGAGCACCUCUUUCCCACUGUGGGCCUGUCUCCUUCCUCCUGGGGUGCCCUUACAAGGCUCUGAGCGUGUAGCAGGGUGUAAAGGGAUGUGGGUGAAGAACACUGGGGUGCUACUGAUUGACCAGUAAAUAAGUAUUGCUCGGGUUUCCCAACAACAUAAAUGCCCAGGCAUGUGCCACGUUCACAGAUGUCACAAUCAAGACACCAUUCAAAACAGAGAAACUCACCCCAAAGCUGCUGCCUGGCACAGCCCCACCCGGAGGAGAAUCCUGACUCACCAGACAAGAUUCUCUCAAUUCAUACCCAUGGCCCCAUCACCGGGUAGCAUUUCAACCUAGAGCUGG